AUCGAACGCUGGCGGCAGGCCUAAAACAUGCAAGUCGAGCGGAGCGGCGGAAGAGGGAUGACUGACUAGGAAUCUGCAUGUUAGUAGGGUAUAACGUCCGGAGUGGGGCGCUAAUAACACAUACUUUAAGAUGCGCUUAGGUCGGAUUAGCUAGUUGGUACGGUAAAGGCUUACCAAGGCGACGAUCCGUAACUGGUCUGAGAGGAUGAUCAAUACCACUGGAACUGAGACACGGUCCAGACUCCUACGGGAGGCAGCAGUGGGGAAUAUUGGGCAAUGGGCGAAAGCCUGAUCGAGCCACGCCGCGUGUGUGAAGAAGGUCUUCGGAUUGUAAAGCACUUUUGGUUGGGAGGCGUUACCAACAGAAUAAGCACCGGCUAACUGCGUGCCAGCAGCCGCGGUAAUAC
rnacentral:rRNA from 1 species